UUGAUCGAAGCCCCGGUAAACGGCGGCCGUAACUAUAACGGUCCUAAGGUAGCGAAAUUCCUUGUCGGGUAAGUUCCGACCUGCACGAAUGGCGUAACGAUGGCCACACUGUCUCCUCCUGAGACUCAGCGAAGUUGAAAUGUUUGUGAAGAUGCAAUCUCCCCGCGGCUAGACGGAAAGACCCCGUGCACCUUUACUGUAGCUUUACAUUGGACUUUGACAAUAUCUGUGUAGGAUAGGUGGGAGGCAUUGAAGUGGGCUCGCCAGAGCUCAUGGAGCCGACGUUGAAAUACCACCCUGAUGUUGUUGAGGUUCUAACCUGGGUCCAUUAUCUGGAUCGGGGACCGUGUAUGGUAGGCAGUUUGACUGGGGCGGUCUCCUCCCAAAGUGUAACGGAGGAGUACGAAGGUACGCUAGGUACGGUCGGAAAUCGUGCUGAUAGUGCAAUGGCAAAAGCGUGCUUGACUGCGAGACUGACAAGUCGAGCAGAUUCGACGGGGGAGUUUGGCACCUCGAUGUCGGCUCAUCACAUCCUGGGGCUGUAGCCGGUCCCAAGGGUAUGGCUGUUCGCCAUUUAAAGUGGUACGUGAGCUGGGUUUAAAACGUCGUGAGACAGUUUGGUCCCUAUCUGCCGUGGGCGUUGGAAGUUUGAGGGGACCUGCUCCUAGUACGAGAGGACCGGAGUGGACGCACCUCUGGUGUACCGGUUAUGACGCCAGUCGUAUCGCCGGGUAGCUAAGUGCGGAAGAGAUAACCGCUGAAAGCAUCUAAGCGGGAAACUCGCCUCAAGAUGAGACUUCCCGGGGGUUAAACCCCCCUAAAGGUUCGUCGAAGACCACGACGUUGAUAGGUCGGGUGUGGAAGCGCAGUAAUGCGUUAAGCUAACCGAUACUAAUUGACCGUGAGGCUUGAUCCU
rnacentral:rRNA from 1 species